rnacentral:lncRNA from 10 species
CAGAAAACUAAUAAGACAGGAAAUUUAAGUACACGUUGAAAGAAAAAGAUACUUUGUUACACGAAGCUGAAGUCAGUGAAACUUGUAACAAGGCAGGCUCAAACAGAGGUACCAACUACAGAUACUGUCUAAUUGUAAAUGAACUACCAAGCAACUGUUAAAGGAAAGAAGUACAGAAUCGUAUGGAUGCCAAAGAUUGCCAGCUAAUAAAAUGUCUUAAUUUGCUUGCUUCUUUAAAAAAUCCAACUUACCUUUGAAACUAUCAGCCUGUUGUUCAACAGACUCUCGUACCAUUUUCCAAAAGCAGUCUGAUACUGCAAGGCUUAAAUUUCUUGUAGUCACUUGGUGUGCCUUUAGCAUGCUUGUCCUAUUAAAAAAAAAUAACAAGAGCUAAAGUAUAUUAAAAUGACAAAAAGGACAACAAUACUACCACCAAGUCUGCGAAUGUGCUUGCUAACAGCCACUCUUACCUUUCAUACCAGUGCUGUUCAAUAAAAAUUUAUGUGAGGAGGAAAACAUUCCAAUACGGUAGCUACUGGCACACUGGGUUAUUGAGCCCUGGAAAUGUGUGGCUAGUGUAACUGAGGAACUGUAUUUUGAAUUUUGUUGAAUUUUAACUAAUUUAAAUUUAAUGUUAUAUUUUAUUUUAUUAUUUUUUUGAAUUGGAAUCUUGCACUGUCGUCCGGGCUGGAGUGCAGUGGCGUGAUAUUGGGUCACUACAACUUCCGCCCCCCACCCCCUCGGGGUUCAAGCGAUUCUCCCGCCUCAGCCUCCUGAGUAGCUGGGGUUACAGCUGCCCAUCGCCAUGCCCAGCUAAUUUUUUUUGUACUUUUAGUAGAGAUGGGGUUUCACCAUGUUGGACAGGCUGGUCUCAAACUCCUGGCCUCAAGUGAUCCGCCUGCCUUGGCCUCUCAAAGUACUGGGAUUACAGGUGUGAGCCACCAUGCCUUUAAAAAGAACAUGAAGAAAGCCAUCUUCCAGAAAUUAAUUUAAUUCCAACUAAUUUAAAUUUUAAUAACUACACAAAACUAGUGAUACCAUAUUAGACAGCACAGUUCUAUAUGUUGUCAGUGCACUCCCCAAAGCACGUAAGAUUAUGGUUUGCAAGAACUAUCUUGACUUACCGUACUAACCUAGGAACAAACAUACUUUUCUAUUUCCAGAAACUCAACAUAUAAAGUUUUAGUAUACAGUAAUACAACUGGCCUUUAGCUCUUUUUGCUUAUCUUAUCUCCUGUCAAUAUAUAUCUAGGGAUACUUCUUCGACAACCCCACUCCAAUCUUCCCCAAUACUGUAAGAGAAAUAUGUACACGUUUAAAAGUGAAAGCGUCGAUUUUCUAAAACCACUUUAUAAGUAAAAUAAAGUAAGAGGCAGAUAUCUAUGUUGUCUUUCAGUGCCCACGUCCAAGGAAGCAUGCCAGUAUGUAUUGUACCAUGUGAUAAACUGCUCUCAAUUCUGCCAAAAAGUAGCUAAGGACUUGUUUAUUAGAUACAGUUCACUAUUUGGGAAAAAUUCUAGAAAUCCGAUGUUAAACUAAUAGUUAUAAAACCUGAUGUUUUAAGUGAAAACAGUUCAAUUUAAGCUACUCUCUUACUGUAAAAUGUUUAAAUGUUUUAACAAGAUACCUACUUUAGGAGCUUUGAAUUCUGAAAAAACUCUUCUUCAUAUUCUCUUAUAGCUUCAAUGCUUUCAGAGCUGUUCCCUGGGGAAGAAUGAUGGUCAAAUUUUCAUCAAGAAAAUUACUCUUUAUUAUUUGAAAACAACAGAAACUAAAAAUAAGUUAUUAUAAUCCAUCUUUGCAUACCUUUUCCUGUUACAACAGCAAAAUAACCUAAAGCUUUCAUUGGGAAGAGCUUUCCUUCAAUUAUCUGCUGAAUCUAUUUUUAAAAGUGGGAAAAAUUAAUGUGAGAUAUAGUUUACAUAAGUUUUAAAAGCGUAAUAUACAAUUUAGAAAGCAAAAUAAUGCUAUACAUGUAUAUAGUUAAAUAAAUCUGCACAAAAGCAUUUAAAAUGUUUUUCCAUUGCUAUU